GAGCUACCUGCUUCGGCCCCUCCCCGCCCCCGGCCGGGACCCGGAGCAGGACCAGGGGGCGCCGCCCCCAACCAGCGCGGGGGCUGGGCCGGGGCGGGGAGAGCCGCAGGCAGCCCGCAGCUGUUGCGCCCCAUCACGCUCCGCCUGGCGCCGGGGUGCACGGCGCAGACACGCGGCGGGGCCAGAGCGCCCCAGCAGACUCGGUACGGAGAGAGCACGAGUCGCCCGCCCUGAGCGGCGAGUUCUGCGCUGGAGUUGACUGUGCGUGCGGGUGCUGAUGAGAAAUGGAGAAUGGAGGGGGAAGCAUUCCUGGUGGAGCAGGCCAAGGACAUAGCAAGAGCUGGGAUGUAGGAGGGAUGUGAUAUGGCUCAAGCCCACCUCUGCCAACUCAGCAUUCAUGGGAGCUGUGAGCACCACCGCCAGCCCUGGUGUGAUUGAAGUCUGGAGACCCAAGUCUUGGGAUGCUGCUGUGUGACCAGCACGAAGCUUCCUGUCUUGCUACCAUCUCAUCUCAUUAUUAGCAAGCCACCUGGAUGGCUGGGUUGCAUUCAACCCCUCCUUGCAUUUCCAGCAGGGCUUUGUCCAUAACAGACAUUCAGUAUCAGUGGAGUUGAAUCUUCAAGAGGGAGACUAGGGAAGUCUAACUUCAGUGCCCCAGUAGGACUAGCAGUGGAUUCAGAGGCAAGGCAGAAAGAGUCUUGAGAAUUUAUCAACCACUCUGCGUGAAUGUGAGGAACACUUACAUGAUUCUAAGUUCCUAUGUUUGGGGGGGAAAAUAUUAAGAAGAGAGGUGGUUAGAAUGGGAUUGGUGUUAGGGGCAUGAUUAAUUUGGAGUGCUAAAAAGUCAUCAGGCGGCAUUGUCCAGACACAGUUUAAAAUUGUGGGAACUGAACUGGUACUUGAGAAAGAAGCCAAUCAGAGAUGUCCAUUUGGGAUUGUUCUUGCCCAUCCUGUUGGCCGUGGCUUAUAAAUCAUCCCCAAAUUGAUCACUCUUUCCUCUAACACUGUUACCCUGGUCCAAGCCACCACGAUUUUUUACAGAUGUGUCUUACCAAGUGUUGUUCUUGUUCAGGCCUUUGACCUGCUUCUGACCUGCCUGGACAUUGCCCAGACUCCAUGCCUGCCUGCAAGCACAAGUCAAAGUGAGUGGCCCUUAGAAGUCUUGAGCCCUUGGAGGUCUGGUCAACCCCUCAGGGUCUAACGAAAUCCUAUGACUCACAAGGUGAAACAAACAGCACUGUAAAAAGGUUAAAGCAAAACCAAAGCUGCAUUUUUGCCUGCAAACUGAUGAUGGGAUUAUAAGCAGGAGCCCCCGAAACUGCAAUCUGAAGUCUCACCCAUGGAGUAGACACACUGCCCGGGACCUCUUCCCAGUGGGGACUGCAGAUUGCUAUUAACGAGGGACUUCCCAGCGCUAUUCGUCUCGAUGUUGGUCGACCUAAUUUUGUGAUAUCUGUGCUGUUACUGUUUUCUAUCAUUUCUAUUUUUCUUUUCUUUUAAUGAUUGUAUACUUAAGUUAAAAAAUCCUCUAUUAAAUACUGAAAUUGUUUAUUCUGUGUAUGUUGAGCAGUUUCUUUUGUUAACGAAUCCUUCAAACCUAAAACAAAAAUAAAACUUGCAGCGAAACAA